AGACCCACCAAAUCUUCCGAACAUAAGAUGCGAGGAUCAGUGGGGGAUUAGCUCAGCUGGGAGAGCACCUGCUUUGCAAGCAGGGGGUCGUCGGUUCGAUCCCGUCAUCCUCCACCAACCAAUACGCCCUGCGGUAGGGUGAAGAAACUAACACCAAAGCGGCUUCGCGAGAGGCCUCUUUGUUGUUGGUCCGGUAUAGACCGGGUCAAUCGGCUGUUCUUUAAAAAUUCAUAGAGUCGAAUCAGCGUUGCCGGCGGAAAGCAGGAAACUGCACCGUGCCGCCGGCGACAAAAAUUUGAUUGCGUCAAAACGAAUGUUCAAUUUGCGAAAGCUAGUUGAAAUUCAGUAAUGACGAAUUGUUCUCUAGGUAGUGAUACCGAAGAAGAAUUCACAUUACGGCAUAACGCGCGAGGUGAAAGACCUCGCAAGUCCUUGAAAGAAAGCGGAGAUGUC
rnacentral:tRNA from 1 species